UACAGAGGGGGGCAAGCGUUGUCCGGAUUUAUUGGGCGUAAAGAGCGUGUAGGCGGCCAUGUAGGUCCGUUGUGAAAACUCGAGGCUCAACCUCGAGACGCCGAUGGAAACCAUGUGGCUAGAGUCCGGAAGAGGAGAGUGGAAUUCCUGGUGUAGCGGUGAAAUGCGCAGAUAUCAGGAAGAACACCCGUGGCUAAGGCGGCUCUCUAGUACGGUACUGACGCUGAGACGCGAAAGCGUGGGGAGCGAACAGG
rnacentral:rRNA from 1 species